rnacentral:lncRNA from 1 species
GCUCCCUCUGCUAUGCAACUCCUUAUCCCAUUAACAUCGCCCAAUCUCGCUGCUCUAUGCAACAUGUCUCCCAGUUGCAGCAACCCAUAUAAAUGUGAAUUCCCAUUUUCUACUGCAACACCGAAAGCAGUUUUUCCUUCCUUGUUCACUGCAUAUUUUAUAUAACUUGAGCAAUCUAAUAGGCACUCCGCAGCUUCUAAAUGUCCUUUCUCUGCAGCUAAAUGAAGCGGUGUGCAUCCAUUACAGUCCACAACGUCGCUUUUUCCUCCAAUUGAAGCACAAAAUCGAAUCACUUCAACAUGCCCACAACUUGCAGCCACAUGAAUUGGAGUUCUACCAUGUAAAUCAAUUGAAUUCGCAUCAAUAAAUUUGAAAUUAUGACUAAGAACCUCCAUCAAAUCCACCCUGUUUAUCGCUGCUGCCUCGUGCAAAACCUUAUCUAUUAACUCAUCUAUUAAACAACCAGAUGCAAUCAAUACCUUAACUACGUCUGUGUUUCCUGCUUUGACAGCCUGAGUGAUCAUGGACCGUCCCUCUGAGUCCUUACAAUUCACAUCUCCACCGGCAUCUAUCAAUUUUGCUACCAAAUUGGCACUACCAGAUAUUACAGCGGAUUCUAGCAGGGUUGUGAGCUGGGAGGCGGAAC